GAUGAACGCUAGCUACAGGCUUAACACAUGCAAGUCGAGGGGAAACGACAUCGCAAGCUUGCUUUUGAUGGGCGUCGACCGGCGCACGGGUGAGUAACGCGUAUCCAACCUGCCCAUCACUUGGGAAUAACCUUGCGAAAGUAAGACUAAUACCCAAUGACAUCCCACGAAGACAUCUGAAUGGGAUUAAAGAUUUAUCGGUGAUGGAUGGGGAUGCGUCUGAUUAGCUUGUUGGCGGGGUAACGGCCCACCAAGGCAACGAUCAGUAGGGGUUCUGAGAGGAAGGUCCCCCACAUUGGAACUGAGACACGGUCCAAACUCCUACGGGAGGCAGCAGUGAGGAAUAUUGGUCAAUGGGCGAGAGCCUGAACCAGCCAAGUAGCGUGCAGGAUGACGGCCCUAUGGGUUGUAAACUGCUUUUAUAAGGGAAUAAAGUGGGUCUCGUGAGACUUUUUGCAUGUACCUUAUGAAUAAGGACCGGCUAAUUCCAUG
rnacentral:rRNA from 1 species